AAACAGAUAUUUGUUCCUGAGUCAAGGUUGUUUUCUAUAUAUUUUUUUUUAUACCACAUCGGUGGCAAACAAGCAUACGGCCCGCCUGAUGGUAAGCAGUCACCGUAGCCUAUGAACGCCUGCAACUCCAGAGGUGUUAUAUGCGCGUUGCCGACCUUUUAAAAACCUGUA